rnacentral:rRNA from 1 species
UCGACGGAGUUAAAUUCGACACCCGAGUAUCCGGCCGGGAGGCGGGGUGCUGGGGGUUGGAUUUAACUUAGUGGCGGACGGGUGAGUAACGCGUGAGUAACCUGCCUUUCAGAGGGGGAUAACGUUCUGAAAAGAACGCUAAUACCGCAUAACAUCAAUUUAUCGCAUGAUAGGUUGAUCAAAGGAGCAAUCCGCUGGAAGAUGGACUCGCGUCCGAUUAGCCAGUUGGCGGGGUAACGGCCCACCAAAGCGACGAUCGGUAGCCGGACUGAGAGGUUGAACGGCCACAUUGGGACUGAGACACGGCCCAGACUCCUACGGGAGGCAGCAGUGGGGGAUAUUGCACAAUGGGGGAAACCCUGAUGCAGCAACGCCGCGUGAGGGAAGAAGGUUUUCGGAUUGUAAACCUCUGUUCUUAGUGACGAUAAUGACGGUAGCUAAGGAGAAAGCUCCGGCUAACUACGUGCCAGCAGCCGCGGUAAUACGUAGGGAGCGAGCGUUGUCCGGAUUUACUGGGUGUAAAGGGUGCGUAGGCGGCGAGGCAAGUCAGGCGUGAAAUCUAUGGGCUUAACCCAUAAACUGCGCUUGAAACUGUCUUGCUUGAGUGAAGUAGAGGUAGGCGGAAUUCCCGGUGUAGCGGUGAAAUGCGUAGAGAUCGGGAGGAACACCAGUGGCGAAGGCGGCCUACUGGGCUUUAACUGACGCUGAAGCACGAAAGCAUGGGUAGCAAACAGGAUUAGAUACCCUGGUAGUCCAUGCCGUAAACGAUGAUUACUAG